rnacentral:rRNA from 1 species
AUUGAACGCUGGCGGAAUGCUUUACACAUGCAAGUCGAACGGCAGCACGGACUUCGGUCUGGUGGCGAGUGGCGAACGGGUGAGUAAUGUAUCGGAACGUGCCCAGUCGUGGGGGAUAACGUAGUGAAAAUUACGCUAAUACCGCAUACGAUCUAUGGAUGAAAGCGGGGGAUCGCAAGACCUCGCGCGAUUGGAGCGGCCGAUAUCAGAUUAGGUAGUUGGUGGGGUAAAGGCCCACCAAGCCAACGAUCUGUAGCUGGUCUGAGAGGACGACCAGCCACACUGGGACUGGGACACGGUCCAGACUCCUACGGGAGGCAGCAGUGGGGAAUUUUGGACAAUGGGCGAAAGCCUGAUCCAGCCAUUCCGCGUGCAGGAUGAAGGCCCUCGGGUUGUAAACUGCUUUUGUACAGAACGAAAAGGUUUCUACUAAUACUAGGAGCUCAUGACGGUACUGUAAGAAUAAGCACCGGCUAACUACGUGCCAGCCGCCGCAGUAA